GUGGCUGUAGCUCAGCUUGGUUAGAGCAUCAGAUUGUGGAUCUGAGGGUCGUGGGUUCAAGUCCCAUCAGUCACCCCA
rnacentral:tRNA from 1 species